CAGUCGCCGCGGGAAUACGGAGGGUGCAAGCGUUAAUCGGAAUUACUGGGCGUAAAGCGUGCGUAGGCGGUUUGUUAAGUCUGCUGUGAAAUCCCCGGGCUCAACCUGGGAAUGGCAGUGGAUACUGGCAAGCUAGAGUGUGUCAGAGGAUGGUGGAAUUCCCGGUGUAGCGGUGAAAUGCGUAGAGAUCGGGAGGAACAUCAGUGGCGAAGGCGGCCAUCUGGGACAACACUGACGCUGAGGCACGAAAGCGUGGGGAGCAAACAGGAUUAGAUACCCGCGUAGUCCCUGUCUCUUAUAC
rnacentral:rRNA from 1 species